rnacentral:rRNA from 1 species
UUUUACGACCAUACCACAUUGAAAGCACGACAUCUUAUCCGAUCUGUCAAGUUAAGCAACGUUGGGCCGAGCUAGUGCUUGGUUUGGAGACGGCUUGGGAAUUCCAGGCGAAGUAAGCC